UCUAAAACGGGAUUUUUCUGAAAAUGUUACGUUUCGGACAGAUGACAUGUGGCGUGACGUGAAUGGCUCUUGGAUGUUUGUUGCGGUGCUAAGAAAUGAAUGACCGAUACUUAACAAGUUCGGACAUAGGUGGCUAAUAACGCAGAACCAGACGGUUUACUAGAUCUAACUAAAAAACCGUUGUAACCUAACAUAACGGUUCGAUCAAAAAAAACAUUCUAGCCGACACACAAAGCGCUCGUUCUUUCUUAUACAGAAGGAGCUCGGUCCUGGCAUAGAAGAAGUUGGGAACGGGGCGGAGGCUCCAGUGAUGUUAGUCGGCGAUGGAGAUGUCCAACAGGUGCGGGGCGUCGGGGGCGACCGAUUUUUGUGGAUGAAGAGGCGAGAAGACGUCGAUGGUGCGCAGAGCAACGACAACAAUUGCGUGCUCCCACCGGGUGUGUGAGCUCCGGUUCAAAGCUAUGGUGAGAGAUCAAAAACUAAAACAUGUCAAAACAACGUUGUACGGGGAGACUAAAUAGGUAGGUGGAUUCUGAGAGGCCGGGGUGGCUUACCCGCAUCGAAACGUCCGACGAGAAAAACUAUGGUGAACCGAUCUCAUCGGCUUCGUGUGGUUCUUCCAAGCGAACUAGGGCAAAAAUUUGUGCGGGAAUCAGACGAGGCGUCCGUGGGGUACUUA
rnacentral:lncRNA from 1 species